GUCUAAGCAUGGCAUAGUGGUUUGAGCUUUGGACUAUGACUCUGGUUACCAGGGUUCAAAUCCCCACUUGGCCA